rnacentral:rRNA from 1 species
GAUGAACGCUGGCGGCGUGCCUAAUACAUGCAAGUCGAGCGAACGGACGAGAAGCUUGCUUCUCUGAUGUUAGCGGCGGACGGGUGAGUAACACGUGGAUAACCUACCUAUAAGACUGGGAUAACUUCGGGAAACCGGAGCUAAUACCGGAUGAUAUUUUGAACCGCAUGGUUCAAAAGUGAGAGACGGUCUUGCUGUCACUUAUAGAUGGAUCCGCGCUGCAUUAGCUAGUUGGUAAGGUAACGGCUUACCAAGGCAACGAUGCAUAGCCGACCUGAGAGGGUGAUCGGCCACACCUGAACUGAGACACGGUCCAGACUCCUACGGGAGGCAGCAGUAGGGAAUCUUCCGCAAUGGGCGAAAGCCUGACGGAGCAACGCCGCGUGAGUGAUGAAGGUCUUCGGAUCGUAAAACUCUGUUAUUAGGGAAGAACAUAUGUGUAAGUAACUGUGCACAUCUUGACGGUACCUAAUCAGAAAGCCACGGCUAACUACGUG